rnacentral:miRNA from 1 species
UGAGUGCUUCCAUGUUUUAGUGA